rnacentral:tRNA from 1 species
GCCUGAGUGGCUCAGUCGGUUGAGCGUCCGACUUCGGCUCAGAUCAUGAUCUUGCAGUCUGUGAGUUCGAGCCCCACAUCGGGCU